GAUGAACGCUGGCGGCGUGCCUAAUACAUGCAAGUCGAGCGAACGGACGAGAAGCUUGCUUCUCUGAUGUUAGCGGCGGACGGGUGAGUAAUACGUGGAUAACCUACCUAUAAGACUGGGAUAACUUCGGGAAACCGUAGCUAAUACCGGAUAAUAUUUUGAACCGCAUGGUUCAAAAGUGAAAGACGGUCUUGCUGUCACUUAUAGAUGGAUCCGCGCUGCAUUAGCUAGUUGGUAAGGUAACGGCUUACCAAGGCAACGAUGCAUAGCCGACCUGAGAGGGUGAUCGGCCACACUGGAACUGAGACACGGUCCAGACUCCUACGGGAGGCAGCAGUAGGGAAUCUUCCGCAAUGGGCGAAAGCCUGACGGAGCAACGCCGCGUGAGUGAUGAAGGUCUUCGGAUCGUAAAACUCUGUUAUUAGGGAAGAGCAUAUGUGUAAGUAACUGUGCACAUCUUGACGGUACCUAAUCAGAAAGCCACGGCUAACUACGUG
rnacentral:rRNA from 1 species